rnacentral:rRNA from 1 species
AGCUCCAAUAGCGUAUAUUAAAGUUGCUGCAGUUAAAAAGCUCGUAGUUGGAUCUCGGGUGCAGGCUUGCGGUCCGCCUCGCGGCGGUCACUGCUCGUCCUGACCUCCACGCCGGUUGUCCGCGCCUUGGUGCUCUUGAUUGAGUGUCUCGGCCGGCCGGAACGUUUACUUUGAAGAAAUUAGAGUGCUCAAAGCAGGCUACUACCGCCUGAAUAAUGGUGCAUGGAAUAAUGGAAUAGGACCUCGGUUCUAUUUUGCUGGUUUUCGGAGCUCGAGGUAAUGAUUAAUAGGGACAGACGGGGGCAUUCGUAUUGCGGCGCUAGAGGUGAAAUUCUUGGACCGUCGCAAGACGAACUACAGCGAUAGCAUUUGCCAAGCAUGCUUUCAUUA